GACGAACGCUGGCGGCGUGCUUAACACAUGCAAGUCGAACGGAAAGGCCCUGCUUUUGUGGGGUGCUCGAGUGGCGAACGGGUGAGUAACACGUGAGUAACCUGCCCCUGACUUUGGGAUAACUUCAGGAAACUGGGGCUAAUACCGGAUAGGAGCUCCUGCUGCAUGGUGGGGGUUGGAAAGUUUCGGCGGUUGGGGAUGGACUCGCGGCUUAUCAGCUUGUUGGUGGGGUAGUGGCUUACCAAGGCUUUGACGGGUAGCCGGCCUGAGAGGGUGACCGGCCACAAUGGGACUGAGAUACGGCCCAGACUCCUACGGGAGGCAGCAGUGGGGAAUAUUGCACAAUGGGCGGAAGCCUGAUGCAGCAACGCCGCGUGCGGGAUGACGGCCUUCGGGUUGUAAACCGCUUUCGCCUGUGACGAAGCGUGAGUGACGGUAAUGGGUAAAGAAGCACCGGCUAACUACGUG
rnacentral:rRNA from 1 species